GUGGCGGUUGAUCUCAUGACCCUGAGAUCAUGACAGGAGCUAAAAUCAAGAGUCAGACGCUUAACUGUCUGGAGUCAGAAGUUCCUUGAAAUUGGACAAGGUGAAAGGCUCUGUAAGUGAGGCCAGAGGCAUGUCCCCACCCUGCUUGUGCAAGACCUUUGUCAGUGAUGGAGAGGUGAAGCUGGACUGUUCAUUGGCAGGUCUGCUGCUAAUGCUGCUGGUCCAGCCCAGAUGUAAGGUGAAGGUGAGAUGCUGGCCGCAUGGGAUGAUGGGAUUGAGAUGCUGGGACACAACGCUUUGUGCUGUUUCCCCAGACAGCUGCCCCUGGGGUGGAUGCCAACCCUGCCGGCACCAGGAUUAACUCUGCUGUUUCAACUUGCAGGAUGUGGCCAUGGAGCAUGAGUUUUGGCCAAUUGGAUGGAAGCUGCAAUGUUGAGUGGCAGUUUCUGGGAACUGCUCUCGGGAGGCGGCUGGUGCCAGCUCUUUGCUUCGCCGUCCCUUCGUGUCUUCCUGCAUCCUGCUGCUGGCAUGAGGACGUGCCCCGAGGAGUGAUGACAAAGCAGUCAACAGGAGAGCUUGUGUCCUUGAGGACAUUACUGAAGUAAUAGUCAAUGAUUUAUACCUAACUUCGAAUAGUGAAUAAAGAUGGGAUGGAGACUACUGCUGAUUAGAGAAAGG